CUAUUAAUAUCCAUGGGGAUCCAUAGGGGUCCCGCUACCCGUGAACCCUUAACACUUGUAAUCAGAUUCCAGAGCCGUCCCCAUACCCCGUCCGGUAUGGGCGUCAAAACUAUAAACCUCAAUACCCCGUCCGGUAUGAGGGUGAAACGGACCAUCCCAAUACCCCGUCCGGUAUGGGCGCCAAAACACAUAAGGUCUCCAUACCCCGUCCGGUAUGAGAGACCACAAUCCUGGUAGGGUUCCCUACGGACCCGGUCCGUCCACCAUCUCCCAGGAUAUCUAGUCAGGCUGACCACAUUAUGCAAUUAU
rnacentral:lncRNA from 1 species